rnacentral:rRNA from 1 species
CCCGCACGAAGCGGAGGAGCAUGUGGUUUAAUUCGAUGAUACGCGAGGAACCUUACCUGGGCUCGAACGUAAGAUGACUGUAGGUGAAAGCUUACAUCUCUUCGGAGCAUUUUACGAGGUGCUGCAUGGUUGUCGUCAGCUCGUGCCGUGAGGUGUCGGGUUAAGUCCCAUAACGAGCGCAACCCCUAUCAUUAGUUGCCAUCAGGUCAAGCUGGGGACUCUAAUGAAACUGCCUACGCAAGUAGUGAGGAAGGUGGGGACGACGUCAAGUCAUCAUGGCCCUUAUGUCCUGGGCUACACACGUGCUACAAUGGCCGGUACAGAGCGCAGCGAGGCCGCGAGGCGGAGCGAAUCGCUUAAAGCCGGUCCCAGUACGGAUUGGAGUCUGCAACCCGACUCCAUGAAGUUGGAAUCGCUAGUAAUCGCGCAUCAGCAUGGCGCGGUGAAUACGUUCCCGGGCCUU